AACGAACGCUGGCGGCGUGCCUAACACAUGCAAGUCGUGCGAGAAAGUUUCCUUCGGGAAGCGAGUAAAGCGGCGCACGGGUGAGUAACACGUAGGUAAUCUGCCUCGUAGUCGGGAAUAACCCGGGGAAACCCGGGCUAAUACCGGAUAAGACCACGAUUGUUCCGGCAGUCGAGGCCAAAGACGGCCACUACACGUAAGCUGUCGCUACGAGAUGAGCCUGCGGCCCAUUAGCUAGUUGGUGGGGUAAUGGCCUACCAAGGCGGUGAUGGGUAGCUGGUCUGAGAAGAUGAUCAGCCACACUGGGACUGAGACACGGCCCAGACUCCUACGGGAGGCAGCAGUGGGGAAUAUUGCGCAAUGGGGGAAACCCUGACGCAGCGACGCCGCGUGGGUGAUGAGGGCCUUCGGGUCGUAAAGCCCUGUCGUAGGGGAAGAACCGGUGGACGGCUAAUACCCGUCUGCCCUGACGGUACCCUACAAGAAAGCACCGGCUAACUCCGUGCCAGCAGCCGCGGUAAAAC
rnacentral:rRNA from 1 species